AUGAUUUCAAGGAGCCAAGGUUUCAAGCGGUUUGCUAGUACCUUUGGAAUAAUUUUGUAAUUGAUAUUGUGCUGGCUUAUGGGUCUACACUAGCUCAUGUCUUCUGGGUUCGGAACUUUGGGGGUCGGGGUAAUGAGAGUUUUGCUAAGCUCUGGCUCAAGCGUUCCUGAAUCAACAAAAAAUCUUAGACCAUUUGCAAAAUAUCAUACUGGAUAAGCUCCCAAUGAUGCUGGUAAAACUGGCCGUUGAGUCCGUCAGGUCCAAGGGCUUUUGUUGGGGCUAUUUGAAAGACAAUGUUUCUUACCUUCUCCAUCGUUAUCGGUUCCAGGAAGGCGUCGUUCGUAUUCUCCUGAAUUAUAUAUGGGCAUUGGUCCAGGACAAGUUGAAAGUUUCUUGGUCCCAUGGUAGUAUAGAGGGAGUAGUAAAACUCAGUAAUAUAAUUUUUCAGUUUCUCCUCAUCUCGGAGCCAAGUAGACUCCUCAACUUUCAGCAUGGAGAUUUUGUUACGGUGCCUCCUUUGCAUCGUUGCGGCAUGAAAUUUUUUUGUGUUUCUAUUUCCCCAUUUUAGCCAUUUACGCGAGAUCUUAAUCCCUAAUACAUCUCUUCCUACCUCCAUAGUUUUUCAAUUUUCCCCUUAGCAGCUUGAAUAUCCUCUUUAGUGGAUCCUCCCAUGCUCCUAUUUGUGAGUUCCACUAGCUGUUCCUUGAGAGCUUCGAUUUGGUGGUACGCAUUGGAAAACUUCCAACGGCUCCAUGUAGACAAGGCCUUUGUAACCUUUCUCAGUUUGUUCACAAUAACCCCUCGUUUGAUCUUUGGGUCUUGCUAGGCUUUAGAGACUAUCUUGUCGUAUUACGUAUUCCACCCAGUAAGCUUCAAAUUUAAACUCUUUUUUUCGUGCUUCAUGGUUAGGGUAGAGCAAAAGACGAAUAGGACAAUGACGGGGCGAAUAGGAAGUAAUGCAAAGGCUUCCGUGUUUGGGAAAGACACUCUCCAAUCUAAACUGCUUAUUACUCAGUCAAGCCUUUCUUUAACCAACUCGUCCCCCACUCUAUUGUUAGACCAAGUAAACACACAUCUCUUGCUUUCUAUAUCCAUAAGUGAACAGUCAUACGUAAGAUCUUGGAAAGCUACUAGCCUGUAGUUGUUCGCAUCUCUCUCUCCCCACUUUCUCCCAAUUACAUAAAAUUUCGUUAAAAUUGCCCAUGCAAACCCAAGGGAGAUGAUGGAGUAGUGAAUGGCUCUCAUUUUUUGCCAUAGCUGCAAUCUCUCCUGAAAAUUAGUAGAAGCAUGUAGGAAAGUUAUUCUCAUAGUAGUCCCGCUUCUCGGUCUUUGCAUAUAACAUUAAUAAACUCAGCCGAACUAGCUACCACAUUUGGGGAAAGGUCAUCAUUCCAUAACAGUGCUAAGCCCCUAGCAAUGCCCAUGGAUCCAUAACCUAAAGAUGCUAGAACUGGAAUCAACUAUGAAUACGGUCCACCAUCACCUCUUUAUUUUUUGUUUCCAUCAAAACCACCAUAGUGAGCUUUUCUUGAGCCGCAAUGGUUCUUAGUGACUGGAAUGUCAGGGGAGUGCCCAACCCCCGGCAAGUCUAGCUCAAAAGCUUCAUUUAAUCCCUGAUGGCUUAUUAGGAUUAGCCACCACAGCCCAUUCAUGCCCGUCUUUAGCCAUAUGAACGUGAGUAACUAGUUUUAAAGACUUUUCUAGAGAAUUCAAGCUUGUUCCUCCCAUCUCAUAAGGGUUAUGUCUCCUCGGUUUCUUUGUAGGCAGGAUUUUUUUCCCCGCUUUUCCUUUCUUUUGUAGCCCGCAUUCUAAUUCCAUGCCAGUCGCUCUUCCGAGGGAAUCCAGUAAAAGUAGCUGAGUUUGCUUCCCCAAGUGGGGAAUGAGCUCCAAGGUGGAGCCAAACCAAAGGCACUCCCUAGGGGAAUAUCCGCACUGCAUUUUCUUUUUGUUGCGAUUUCUUUUGGAGGGUAGUCAUGAAGUGGGGUUUCAAAUAUCAUUUCCUCUUCCUCCAUGAUAGGAAGCUGGUCCCCAUAAAACAACUCCCAAUACGAGCUAUGUUCACUAACUUCUGCCUUUAGCCAUUGCCCGAAUUUGCCUUAAAAUGUUUUCCAUGAGCUAUUUUGCAGUAAGUAGCAUAAUGACCUCCGCAAGAAUAGCAAAAGUGAGGUAGACGUUUUGAAGUCCAUCCAAAUCCUUUUUCCCCCACAUUGAUGAAUGUUUCUGACUUCAAGGGGGCAGCCAACUCUAUUUCCACCCGUGCUUUCCCCGAAAUAAUAUACCUAUUUGCUUUCUUAUCCAGCCUAACCCCCUGCACAGCCCCCACUUUCGAUGCCAAACUAUUUAUGACGUCUACUGUUGCUCUUUCCUCAGGGAUCCCGAGGGCUUGGACCCAAAAGGUACAAUAGGAAAAAUCAUAGCAAUGCAUCUGGGUGUCAGAUUUCCAUUGUUUGAGGACUAACAAGUUGCUGGAAAAGGACCAUGGUGCCUCCUCCAAUACCCUCUUUUUCUCUGCUUGUGUGUUAAAGAUGAAAGAGAAGAGGCCCGGCUUGAUUUGGGCAUAGGCUACUGUUUCAGUUUUCCACGCCCUCUUCAUUGGGCCUUGGAAGGCUUGGAAAUUGACAUUGGGCUUUGAAUAGAGUUUUCCAUACAAGCAGGGGGUAUGAAACAAGCAGUUAGCUCUUCGUGCCCUAUUACCCGAGCUCCUUGAGACUCAUACAGGUGCAACAGAUUAACUAAAGCAACUGGGUCGAGCAACACAUCCCAUGAGGCUUUGAGCUGUUUGCUGUGAUGUUGGGUGAGGAAAAAUCGGGAAGAAGCAUAACCUCAAGGCUGGGCGGCAACAAUUUUCUUUGAGAUUUGGCAAAUCGAGCUGAUACUCCUUCGUUUGCCUCAAUCGGAGGACCUAAGGAUUGGACAAGCUGGAUGUGUAUUUGGAGGAUAAGGAUGAAUCCGAGGAGGCAGUGAAAGGAGCUCCAGGCUAGAUUUUGGUGGCAACUGUGGUGAGAAUGCGAUUAAGAAUUAGGGUUUUGGGUACGUAGUGUUGGGGCGAGGAAGGAUAUGAUGUAUAGGUUUUACAUUGUGGAGGUAAAGGAUCAAAGUAGGCAGGUUGGGACUUUUAUGGGGUGAGGGUUUUGGAGAAAAGGGGUUUUAGGGCAAACUAUCUCCAUGGAUAGAGAGAAAGCUCUUCAGAGGAAGAGAGAAUUCUAUCAACGAGAUCUCCAAACCUAUAUUGAAUAGUACAA